rnacentral:miRNA from 1 species
UGGGUUGAAUGGCUGGUUCUGA